GCUGGGCAUGGUGGUGCACACCUGUAAUCCCAGUGGCUCAGGAGGCUGAGGCAGGAGGAUCACGAGUUCAAAGCCAGCCUCAGCAAUGGCUAAGCAACUCAGUGAGACCCUAUCUUUA
rnacentral:sRNA from 1 species